UCUGAAUGUACUUAAUGCUGCUGAAUUGCAUACUUAAAAAUGAUUAAAAUGGUCAUUUUAUGUUACGUAUAUUUUACCACAAUAAAAAAAGAAUAUAUUGCAAAACCUGUGAACGUGCCAAUUACAUUCACAAUGUGUACAAAUAUCACCACCAGCCUCUCCCCCAGAACAGAUCUUCCUUAGCGCAGAGUCAGGGGAAAUGCGAUCUGCCCGUGUUCACCCGCUGCUCAGCUGGUGGGCUCAGCUGGCCCGGAAUAGCUUUGCUACACCAGGAACUGCGGGAGAUGGGAGCUGCCACUUGGUUUCCAAACCCAGUGGACUAGCUCUUCCACCACACAGGGCUGUGGGGGAAGCCGGGGCUGUGUUCACCAGCUGCCCACUCACUCAGCUCCUCUUUACUGAGCGGGGGUUUAGGGUGGAGGAACUGGUUCCGCUGCCUGGCUGCCCACCCAGAAGAGGUCAUCUGCACGGAGCUGCCACUUGGCUGUCGUGCCCACUGGAAUGAUCUUCCCCAACGUGGAUCUGGUAUCACCAGGAAAAGAGGGGAGAGUGGCCGCAGCCAGUCUCAGGUCUGUGUAAAAACUUGCUGGAGAUGGUGCAGUGGUGGCCAAGCCCUUUGCUCGGGGAUCGAGCAGUCUGAAUAAGGUGAAGCAUGCGAUCAGAGGAACCUGAGAUCAAAGGCGUCUCCACAGGAGGAGUGAGAAGCGGCGACUGACUUGAUGUUGUACGGACAGAGUCUGCGAAACUCGAGCUGAGGACUUUCAAAGUUAUUCUGACUCGCAUAACCUGCCCUCUGAGUGAGCUGUUUUCUUCUCUAGACUUGCCGAAGGUGGGGCAGGAAGCCGUCCUUCAACAGUGACAAACAACACCGCUAUCGUCUCUGCAAACCCAGAAUGAUUAAUAGGUUUACCUCAUUCAUCCCCUCAUCUGACACAGAUCAUUUGCUUAUUAAGAUCUGCCCUGGGAAAAGCUCGCAGUGCCUAUUUCAAAUGUCAGCUUAAGAUGACUGUUCAGUUGUGAUCCAGAAUUUUAACGGCCCCUGCACGUUGCCUCUCAUCUCUGCCUUGUCCUUGAGCUCACCCUCCCUGCCCACGUGCAUUCUGAACAGCAAGGAUUUCUGGCUGGACUUGUUGUUUGGGUCAAGUUCAGAGAGUGUUCUUGGUUUCUUUCAUCAUCUAAUAAAGACGAGGGCGGAGGUCGGGGGAAGCACGUCUUAGAGAUGAAGGGCAAAUUGAGAUCUUUGGUUCAAAGACUGUGGCUCCAUCACUUUCUCUGACUUAGAAAUCGUAUUCAUCCCGCGCUUCCUACUGCAAAUCACUCUGGUGCGACGUAACAAUGCAGCAGAUACACCAGGACUUUUCCCACAUCACACUACAAACACAGCCACCCUCUCUGGGGAACCUAAGAGAAACUUUUGGGCUUCCACUUCCCCUCCAUUUGUUUGAAGGAUCAAGAGAACACAGUUCCAUUUUCAACAAAAAUUAAAAAGGAAAAUCAUGAAAAGAGCCAACCUCCUUUUUUUUCCUCUCUUAAUAUAUUGUUGCAUCCAGAGAAGAGGAAACAGUGAGCGCCACUGAUACUGGGUCCCCAGAGAUCCCAUAAGGGUCACUCCCCAGCUGUCACAUGAGCGUGCUCUUCCUCCACUUGCAGAGCAGAUUCGUAAUGGGACUGGAAGUUACUCUUGGCUCAGCUCUGCGGCGUAAAGAAAUGAAAAGCCACAAUGCUUCAGGGACCUGAGCUGUGCCCACACCUGGGGUUUCACAGGCAGGACAGUUUUCAGCUUUAAGGCUUUGGAGGUUUGGAGAAAGGAGAUUUGAAAAACUGAGAGCGGUGUUCCUGCUGUCCUCCGUAGGCCUGCUAAGAGCUGUGAGCUCCAAAGGGCGGGGGCGAACUCCUUCCACACGUUUUUGUUUUUAUUUCUUCUUGAGGAGCUGUCUAGGGGGCCAUAGGCCAAUUCACUUGAGGACUCAACAUGUGACAGCAUGUCGUUUCUUCUGCACUGUUGCAAAAUGACAUGUGCCCUGAAUAAAAUUUUCCAGAUUACUGGACUGUCCCCCUUUGUGAACCGAAUAGCUUAAAAUGAAAAUGUAGUUGGAGUGCACGUAGUGAAUAAGUGUGGCAGAGACGAUUAACUGCUCUUUGAGCAUGCGACGUCAUUAUCAUGAACAUGGAUUAUUUUCCCGGCUGGAUGGAGACGUCCUCAGGGUCUACGGAGAUGAAAAGGACUCUUUGCAGCCUCACCUUAUGGUCUCGAAGUCCUGGCCUCCUUCCAUUGGUUUUCUGAUUUCUAACUCUGCGCUCACUUGUCUUCAGUAUGCCAUUUCUUCCCAGGAUCUGUGUCUGAGAAGGUUCAUUGUCUUUUCAGUCUCGACUACUUACUUCUUCACCAAGUAUCACUCAGAACAAAACUGAGAGAAGCCAGAUGGACUUAAUUCCACAUACAUUACUUGGUCAAUAUGCUCUCUUGCCAGCUGAGUAAGGAGCAGGAGUUUUAUGAUAGCUGUAAAAAUCUAAUUUAUCCCUUCUGUCAUUAUGUGAGGAGGUGGACUUCAUGGCUCCUCAUUUAUUUUGUACUUAGAAAAAUAUGCAUUUAUCUUAUUAUUAAAAUUUGCCUUCGGUAGAACAAGUUGGUUGGACCUCCAAAACAGAAUGUGACCCAUCCAUUUCUAACUUGUUUGCUGCCUCCUUAAUCCAGGCCAAUAUCAUCUCUCACAGACUAUUGAAACUGCCUCUUAAUGGUCUCCCAGCAUCAUCCUGGGUUCCUUCCAACCCCUCCUCCACACUCAAGUCAGAACGAGCUUUAGAAAGUGUGAAUCUCUUGUUCCACCCAUGCUCAGUGGCCUUCCACGUCAGCCACACCUUGCACCACUCCCUCUCCUGCGGCGUUCUGCCGAGUUGUUUUCUCUCCUUGGCCACACUCCCAUGGACAUCUCUGCCCAGUGUGGCACAACUCUGAUGGGCAAACCUUGCCCCCUCAGCUGCCCGUCACGUUGGGUGAGGCGUGGUCAGGCCUGCAUCACAGUUCUGCACCAAUCUUCCUUCAUCCCCCUUCUCUUCGCUGGCACUAAUCCCUAAUAAACACCUCACACCUGAA